GCCAGGAUGGUGGAAUUGGCAGACACGCAUGGCUUAGGACCAUGUGCUUAACCGCGUGGGGGUUCGACUCCCCCUCCUGGCA
rnacentral:tRNA from 1 species